rnacentral:rRNA from 1 species
GUUGAUAAGGUUAAGUGAAUAAGGGCGCACGGUGGAUGCCUUGGCACUAGGAGCCGAUGAAGGACGGGACUAACACCGAUAUGCUUUGGGGAGCUGUAAGUAAGCUAUGAUCCAGAGAUUUCCGAAUGGGGGAACCCAAUAUCUUUUAUAGGAUAUUACUUUUCAGUGAAUACAUAGCUGAUUAGAGGUAGACGCAGAGAACUGAAACAUCUUAGUACCUGCAGGAAGAGAAAGAAAAUUCGAUUCCCUGAGUAGCGGCGAGCGAAACGGGAAGAGCCCAAACCAACAAGCUUGCUUGUUGGGGUUGUAGGACUCCAAUAUGGUAGUCUGUUAGUAUAGUUGAAGGAUUUGGAAAAUUCCGCUAAAGAGGGUGAAAGCCCCGUAGACGAAAUGCUGACAACACCUAGGAGGAUCCUGAGUACGGCGGAACACGAGAAAUUCCGUCGGAAUCCGCGGGGACCAUCCCGCAAGGCUAAAUACUCCCUAGUGACCGAUAGUGAACCAGUACCGUGAGGGAAAGGUGAAAAGCACCCCGGAAGGGGAGUGAAAUAGAUCCUGAAACCGUGUGCCUACAACAAGUCAAAGCUCGUUAAUGAGUGAUGGCGUGCCUUUUGUAGAAUGAACCGGCGAGUUACGAUUGCAUGCGAGGUUAAGUCGAAGAGACGGAGCCGCAGCGAAAGCGAGUCUGAAUAGGGCGAAUGAGUAUGUAGUCGUAGACCCGAAACCAUGUGAUCUACCCAUGUCCAGGUUGAAGGUGCGGUAAAACGCACUGGAGGACCGAACCCACGUACGUUGAAAAGUGCGGGGAUGAGGUGUGGGUAGCGGAGAAAUUCCAAACGAACUUGGAGAUAGCUGGUUCUCUCCGAAAUAGCUUUAGGGCUAGCCUCGGAAUUGAGAAUGAUGGAGGUAGAGCACUGUUUGGACUAGGGGCCCAUCUCGGGUUACCGAAUUCAGAUAAACUCCGAAUGCCAUUCAUUUAUAUCCGGGAGUCAGACUGCGAGUGAUAAGAUCCGUAGUCGAAAGGGAAACAGCCCAGACCACCAGCUAAGGUCCCAAAAUAUAUGUUAAGUGGAAAAGGAUGUGGGGUUGCACAGACAACUAGGAUGUUGGCUUAGAAGCAGCCACCAUUUAAAGAGUGCGUAAUAGCUCACUAGUCGAGUGACCCUGCGCCGAAAAUGUACCGGGGCUAAACAUAUUACCGAAGCUGUGGACUACACCAUUAGGUGUAGUGGUAGGAGAGCGUUCUAAGGGCGUUGAAGGUCGAUCGUGAGGACGGCUGGAGCGCUUAGAAGUGAGAAUGCCGGUAUGAGUAGCGAAAGACAGGUGAGAAUCCUGUCCACCGUAUGACUAAGGUUUCCUGGGGAAGGCUCGUCCGCCCAGGGUUAGUCGGGACCUAAGCCGAGGCCGAUAGGCGUAGGCGAUGGACAACAGGUUGAUAUUCCUGUACCAGUUGUUUUUGUUUGAGCAAUGGAGGGACGCAGUAGGCUAAGGAAUGCAUGCGAUUGGAAGUGCAUGUCCAAGCAAUGAGUCUUGAGUAGAGUUAAAUGCUUUACUCUU